rnacentral:lncRNA from 1 species
CCUGGCCCACCUCCUCAUCUUCCCCCAUUCCCUUAAUGCGCACCACUUGCCUACGGCAGGGUGUAUCUAUUUCUAUUUCUAUUCUUAGACGCAAGAUAAUAUAGGGGUACGCACAAUGGUGGCCGCGGUGACCUGCGCCAUGUGCUUGUACGCAAUGCGUGUUUACCCUGACCGCGUCGAUACUUGAUGCAUGCGAGCAAGACCAGGCAAGACUGGCCAUACUUCCUGUGGGAGCUGGUCGCGGUGUGGCGUGGCGUGGCCUGAAGCCGCACUGCUCCCUGGCCGCAGGUGUUCCUGCAGCAGGCGCUACUGGAUGCUGGUGGAUACCAGCAGCGGCUGGCCGCCACGACCGUGCGUGGGCGCGGACGGACGGCCGCGAAGUGGCAACGCCGGAGCGUGUGGGCCCCUCAGCAGCCCCUGUGCGGCGGUGGUCUCCCACAACACGCUUGCCAUAACGCUGCGCGCGCUGCUCAAGUAAGGAGGCUGGCGUGCACUUGAGCUGCCGCCGCACUCCCUGCUGUGGCGCGGUAUAGGUAGAUAGCGCGUGAUAGCGCGACUGCUGCUGUUCACGGCGGCGCUGACCGGAACACUCCGGAACGCAGCGACCGCAGUCGAGCAGUAAGUAGCAGUACGUGGCUGCGCCGGUCACAGCGGAGGUUGGGGCAUUAUUUACAAGCACUUGGAUAACUGAUGGCGCGCGUCGCGGGCUGGUCCAUGGCAGCAGCAUGUGGCUAAGAUACAUGCAGGUUCUGGUGUGACCUGGCAUGUCUGGAUCUGGCAGGUCUGGAGAGUCUAGCGGCUGUGAGGGAAAGGCCAUCAGAGGCGGAUGCGGCGGUGAGAUAUUGGGACAAUCUUUACGAGCAGCAAGACCUGCUCCGAAUCAGGCGCAGCGUUGAUUACAGGUCAAGGCAGUGCCUGCCCGUGGAUGGGUUGCGCACAGGGGUCGGCCGGACAGAGACAGUCCGCUGGCAAGGGUGGGCUGUAACUACGUGCGACAAGCUCAUCUCGUGUCCACAAGGCUGUGCCCUUGGCCGUACUUGCCUCUACUCCAGCAGCCCAGCCUUGCCAAAUGAUGGCAACCAGCCGCUAUUGUGUCGGUGUAAGGCCUCUCUGCACCAGUGUGGGGUAAAUCGUCUCAUGCAGCAUUAGCACUUCCUGCUGCCAUAGCUCCGCACGCCGCGCCGCCCCGCCCAGCAACUUUAUCUUCUGCGCAGCCAGCUGCCACUCCUUGCGCCGCUUCUUGCCCGCAGCCUCGUCGUCCUGACUUCGAGCAGCUGCAGCAAGGGCGGAAUCAGGAUGGCUUGGUCACGAAUGCACGGAUUGUUCAGGCAAG